UGUACGCAUCUGAUUUUCUUUUCCAAAACCCUAGAGGCAUUCUUCUCCUUUUUCCUUCGUCUCUGUUCUCCAUUCUGGUCUGCUUUUUUCCAUUAGUGAAGCUGAUUUCUAAUUAGGGUUUCUGGAUCUCAUCACAAAUCCCGCCCCAUCUAUUUUUUCUUUCUUUCUCUCUCUCUCUCUCUUGCCGAUUCAAGAAGAUGAAGGCAAUGGUGGUUCAAGCCGAUUGGAUCAUGUGGUACCAUGUAUUGUUCUCAUUCAAUCGUAUUUCGUUCAACGACAUCAAAAGCAUCAAUCAAUCGAAUUUCAUUUAAUCGGUACCGUCUCUCUAUCAAUCUGCAUCAUUCAGUUUGUAAUUAUUUACGAUUUCGAAGUGUUUGUGAUGAAAUCCUUUAUCUCUUAUCGAAUCAUCUACAAUCCAUUCUUAUAAUCAUCAGAUGAGGGACUUUUGGCCGAAGGGCUCUUCUGGAUACCAUCUUUUGCAGGUCCUACAGAGAUUGAUUGCUGGUUGCUAGAGUGGAUUGCUAUAGAUUGAUGUUCUCUUAAAUGAGAAGUUGAAAGACAAUGAAAUCAAUUUAAGGCUUGCUCUUGGCGUUACAAACCAACCUGUUGAGACAUUUUGUGACGGGGAUGCAGGUGCAAAUGCAAACUUGAGGUCAAGAACAGAUACAAUUUUGGGACAUCAUCCCUUAUCGGAGUUAGUUUGGUCUACACGGAAUGGUUUAACCAUUAAGUGCGGUUGUUGCACCAACUGUGUUGCUUGGACAGAGCCUUGUGUUUUGAGUGACGAAAAAUAUAUGUUUGGGGAGUCGGUUAAAUACGUAGUUAGUCCUACAGUUUGUGCAUAAUAAGGGUAAAGUAAAGGAGUGCAUGAACAUUCCAGUGACCAGAACCAGCGAAGCCUACAUAACACAAAGAAGAUGUCAGCCAAGCCUGUGCGAGAUAUCAGGCCCCAGAAAAAGCCACGGCUUAUAGAAGUCAGGGUUGUUAAGAAGUGGAUUGCGGUUAGUAAGGCACCAAUAAACAAGAAGGAUGAGCUUUGCUAUCAGAUUGUGGAUCAACGUACGUGCGGCAACAUACUCGCGAAGACGGUGGCGGAGGUGGUUAAUCUGUUCUUAAUUGGGGCAUCUUAAAGGCUAUGAAAAUAUAAUUUAAUUAUAACUAGAAAGCAUCUACGCUACCACAUAUUAUGAAUCUAAAUUUGAGUGUUCGACACACUCUUAGAGGUGGCAAGUCGGUUGGGUUGAACAGGUUGGAUACUGGUCAUGUGUAGUAUUGGUUAGGUUAUGUAAUAGGUCAUUUUUAGUACAGGUGGAGUUGAAUUAAGCCUACAAAUUUUUUUUUCCUACUACCACAAUGACAAUCAAUGCUUUAAACCAUGAGAUUCUUUUUUUAGUGAAGUAUGUAGCUUGCUAUUUCUUGAUUUACGAGUUAGAAGCUUGAUAAUGCUAUGGAGUUGGAGUUGGAGUUGGAGUUACUAGGGACGAGAUAAAUGCUAUGUCUAAUAUCCUUGGCUGUAAGGUCGGAGAUUUUCCGUUUGAUUACUUGGGAAUUAAAGUGGGCGCCAACAUGAACCGAGUGUGUCAUUGGAGUUCAGUUGUUGAGACGGUUAGCUCUCGGUUAUCAAAAUGGAAAGCGGAUAGUCUUUCUAUGGGAGGUCGUCUUACUCUCAUUAAAUCCGUUUUAUCCAAUCUUCCGAUCUAUUAUUUAUCGUUGUACAAAGCCCCGGUUGAAAUUGUGGAACAAAUAGAGAGGUUGAUGAGAAGUUUUCUUUGGGGCGGCUCAAAUGGUGUGAACAAAAUGCAUUGGGUUUCUUGGGAUAUUGUUACAUCUCCGAAAUCAGAUGAGGGUUUGGGUAUUUCAAGAUUAUCUGAUGUGAAUAUUGCCUUAAUUACUAAGUUGGCUUGGAGGUUCAAGAGAGAUCCGCAUAGCUCUUGGCGGCGUACGAUAGAGGCGAUUCAUGGUGGAAAAGGUAGAUGGCGUUUUUUUCCGAUAAACAAUAGUCAACCCGGCUGUUGGAAAUCGAUGAUUACAUUAGUGGGCAACUUGAAGCUUGGUGGCAAAGAGAUACAUAACAUCAUAAGGGGUUCAGUGGGUUCUGGGACAGAAGUUAGCUUCUGGCAUGAUAUUUGGUAUGGUAUGACUAAUUUAUGUCAGCGCUGGCCCUGUCUUUUCUCUCUGGAAAAAAAACAAAAGAUGCACGGUUUGGGACAGAUUACAGGAUCGUAAUGGGAUGCUCUCCUUCGUGGACAAUUGGCGUUGCGGUCUUUCUACUGUCGAGGAGUUAUCGGAGUAUAGAGAUUUGCAAGAAAUGGUUCCUAAAUGCUCUUUUUCGGGUGGCAAGGAUAGCUGGGUCUGGAAUGCCGAUUUGAGUAACAGUUUUUCAGUGCAGAAUGUUAAAAAGAUCCUCAUCAAUGACCGUAAUGUUAGGAGAGUCCAUAAUAUGGUUUGGACCGGGUGGGUUCCGUUAAAGGUGAAUAUACAUGCUUGGAGACUCGAUAUGGAUCGCCUUCCGACCAAGAUAAACCUUCGCAGAAGAAAAAUUAACGUGGGAGAUGGCUCGUGUGUUCUUUAUCAGUCGGUAGAGGAGUCAGCCUUGCACCUUUUCACCGGGUGCAUUGUGUCGAGUGGUGUGUGGCAAGGAUAGAAAAAUGGUGUCGUUUGGGUCCGAUCUUCCUUUUUGAUGUCAAAUACAUCUUCUCCUUGCCUUCGACGAUUCCAGGUACUAAUACGAAGAAGAAAAUUAUUAGAGGGAUUGUGAUGACGACUUGUUGGGUCAUUUGGAAGUCUCGUAACAAGGCGGUUUUCGAAGAUGCCAAGCCUCGGGUUUGUGAUAUGAUUGCAUGCAUCAAAUCGUGGUCUUAUUUGUGGUUUCGUAGUAGAUCUAAAGUCGAUAACAUUAGUUGGAAGGAUUGGUGUAGAUACCCAAUGUAUAUGUUGUAAUUGUUUGUUUUGGCGGUCCUCUUUUUGGUGGGAUUAGCCGUUUUCUAAUGAAAUUUAUCGUUCAAAAAAAAA